GCGAAGUUUUUCUGGUGCUUGCACUAGAAAAACUUAGCGGCGAACGGGUGAGUAACACGUAAAGAACCUGCCUUAUAGACUGGGACAACUAUUGGAAACGAUAGCUAAUACCGGAUAACAGCAUUAACUGCAUGGUUGAUGUUUGAAAGUUGGUUUUGCUAACACUAUGAGAUGGCUUUGCGGUGCAUUAGCUAGUUGGUGGGGUAAAGGCCUACCAAGGCGACGAUGCAUAGCCGACCUGAGAGGGUGAUCGGCCACACUGGGACUGAGACACGGCCCAGACUCCUACGGGAGGCAGCAGUAGGGAAUCUUCCGCAAUGGGCGAAAGCCUGACGGAGCAACGCCGCGUGAGUGAAGAAGGAUUUCGGUUCGUAAAGCUCUGUUGUUAGGGAAGAAUGAUUGUGUAGUAACUAUACACAGUAGAGACGGUACCUAACCAGAAAGCCACGGCUAACUACGUGCCAGCAGCCGCGGUAAUACGUAGGUGGCAAGCGUUGUCCGGAAUUAUUGGGCGUAAAGCGCGCGCAGGUGGUUUAAUAAGUCUGAUGUGAAAGCCCACGGCUCAACCGUGGAGGGUCAUUGGAAACUGUUAAACUUGAGUGCAGGAGAGAAAAGUGGAAUUCCUAGUGUAGCGGUGAAAUGCGUAGAGAUUAGGAGGAACACCAGUGGCGAAGGC
rnacentral:rRNA from 1 species